rnacentral:lncRNA from 13 species
GUGGUCUGAGGUGAAGAAGCAGGAUGUGGAGGUCCUGGGCUGGCGUGGUUACACGUGGUCUGAGGUUGUGAGGCCAGUUGGACGUAAUACUCUAAAAUGACAUUGGAGACGGCUUAUGGUAGAGAAAUUAACAUUAAAUUGUCUGGCAACAGCUCUGGUGGACAUUCCUGCAGUCAGCAUGCCAAAUGCACACUCCCUCAAAACUUGAAACAUCUGUAGCAUUGUGUUGUUUGACAAACUGCACAAGGUGCACCUGUGUANNNNNNNNNNGGGGGGGGGACAAUCUGUCAUUCCACAGUGUUACAGUACACCACCAACAACAACAACAACAGGCUAAUGAUGAAGCCUACAUGGGCAACAUAGCAACCACAGUCAUACAUCUUCAAAUUCAUGAUAUCAUGUUCAAUUCAUGAUUUGUUUGCAGAUGGCCCAAAAGUUCAUGAGGACUCGUGGCCUAGGCACUAUGUUUACUUUGACACACAUAUCAUAUGUACACACACACACACACACACACACACACACCAGUUAAAACAGCAGAUAUGAAACCUUAGUUCUUUGGUAACCCCUGACGACAUAUCACAGUGACUUGGAUAAUCAAUCCGGAUAUCAGUGAGUUAUCAACACUAGUACAUUCUGGAUCCACACACCCCAGAUGACAACUCUCUGUCACCUCUACAGGAAGAUCUGGUGUUUGCACAGGAAUAUGAGCUGCUGAGCUGAUUCAAUGAUACCACCGUCAGAUAAACACGUGUGGGUCAUGUCUAUCCAUCUACACGCUCUCUAGCUAAAAUAACGCAGCAGAAAACUUGGAUGUGUGCGUUUGACUUUCAGUGAACAACGAUAUUGAACGAUGAUAUGCCUUCAUAAAACGCAUGGGACAGAUAUGGUAAAGGGAAAGCAGUUCAUACCGACAGACAGAACACAUGAUCGGAAGUCUAGUGGAACAGAGGGAGGGUGAGAAUGAGAGAAGAAGAGCUGGUUUUGGGGCUCAGCUGUUGAGCACUGACAGCUGCCCCUGGUCUAGUAGGAACUGUUCUGGAUCUGGCCCUGGUCUAGUAGGAACUAUUCUGGAUCUGGCCCUGAUCUAGUAGAAACUGUUCUAGAUCUGGCCCUGGUCUAGUAGGAACUGUUCUAGAUCUGGGCCUGGUCUAGUAGGAACUGUUCUGGAUCUGGCCCUGGUCUAGUAGGAACUGUUCUGGAUCUGGCCCUGGUCUAGUAGGAACUGUUCUGGAUCUGGCCCUGAUCUAGUAGGAACUGUUCUGGAUCUGGCCCUGAUCUAGUAGGAACUGUUCUAGAUCUGGGCCUGGUCUAGUAGGAACUGUUCUGGAUCUGGGCCUGGUCUAGUAGGAACUGUUCUGGAUCUGG